rnacentral:misc_RNA from 1 species
CGCAAUGUUUGGGUUCUCAUUCCAUGGUGCCCCAAGACCACCUUUUGAUGAUCUAAUCCAAAAAUUGGUUUACUUGCAUGAGUGCAAUCAAACUCGCCAAAAGUCCUCAGUUAUUGUCUCUGUAGAUAUUCCAUCUGGAUGGAAUGUUGAAGAAGGCGAUGUUGCUGUCAAUGGUGAAGGAAUUAAACCUGACAUGUUGGUUUCUUUGACUGCUCCAAAGUUGUGUGCAAAGAAAUUUUCUGGUCCACACCACUUUCUAGGCGGUAGGUUUGUCCCACCAUCAAUAGUGGAGAAAUAUAAGCUGCAUCUCCCACCAUAUCCUGGCACUUCUAUGUGUGUCCGAAUUGGAAAGCCUCCACAAAUUGAUAUAUCAGCUUUAAGGGAGAACUAUAUUUCUCCUGAAUUCCUUGAGGAGCAGGUGGAGGCUAAUCCCAUGGAUCAGUUCCUCAAAUGGUUUGACGAUGCUGUGGUUGCUGGAUUGAAGGAGCCAAAUGCUAUGUGCUUGUCAACUGUUGGA